ACUUCUGUGUGCAACACCACUACAGAGGGAGGAGCAAGUGGGAUUUCAAGGAAAUAAGCCAGGAAGCUUGCUUUCUUCACUUCCAAGCUUGAUCACAUGGACUGCCUGGGCUGCUGGAGAGUCAGCUAAAUGGAGAUGCUAUAAUUAGGCUCUGAACCUGAUUGCUGUCAAGGUCAAUGACCAAACAAUGCGGUUAGCUAAACUUUGGCCUCUUUAUUCCACUGAAGUUUCAUGUCAAACUCGGAACUGCCCUGGAAACCACAAAAUAGGUAAUGCUGGAGUCAGGCCUAACCUGAGAGAGCAGAGGAGAAGGAAGAGGAAGAGAAGAAUAAAGAGGGAAAGGAGGAAGAGGAGGAAGAGGAAGAUGAGGAGCUGAAGGAGGAAGAAGAGAGAGAAACUGGCACAAAUACAGCACCUUCAGGUUUGCAAACUGUUUACAUAUAUUAUGUCUUUUAAUCCUCCCAAUAACCCUGGUUAUUACCUCCAGAGGACUUACAAAAAGGUGAGAAUUGGAGUUUAGUAUCAAGGAGAUCUCUAUGAAGGAGGUAGAUCCUAGUAGAGCUUUGAAGGACACAGUCAAGCAUAGGACUAAGGGAAAUCAUUUUGGUAGUUCUUUGGAAGAUAUAUUGGAAAGAGGAGAAAUUAUGUAGGCAUGGAGAUCAAUUAGACAUUAUUGUAGUAGUCUAAGAAAGAGAUGAUGAGUACCUAAACUAGCCAGUGCCAAAAGGAGUGGACAUGAAGGGAUGAAUGUGAAAAACAUAGAAUAGAUGAAAUAUGGUAAUUGUUUGGAAAAGGGAGGGAAGUAGAAAAGAGAAGGAAGAACCCAGGGUAGCUCGGAGACCACAAGCUUAGGGGUAAGCAGAUGAAUAGUAGUGCUUUCAGUAUAAAUUAGGAAGUUUGGAAAGAUACUAAUUUUUUUUUUCAUUUAAAAGGUGUGAUAGAGGCUGGCACUUAAAGAAAAAGUGCCAGACUGAAAAUUAUAUGAAAUUGAUCACCUCAAAGGAGGAGGGGCCCUAGGAGUGGAAUCCAGAGGAGAGAAGACUCUAGCUGGGAGAGUAGUGAGGGUCUCUUUGUCUUGAGAGGUAGAAGAGAGAAGGUGGAUAAAUACUUUCUCCUGAGGGUUAACCACUUUUUCUGCUGGUGACUGGAAAUCUUUCUCCUCAACACUUCCCAAUUGA